rnacentral:lncRNA from 1 species
GAGCAGCAUAAGCCAGGCUCUAUGGAAUGUUGGGUGAGCUGCUUGAGGAACUCCAAGGCCUGUCCCACAGUCUUCCAGCCUCCGACUCUCCGGCCCUCAGCGAGGUCAGCAGUGAGCUACUUUUGGAUCUGUUGGGAUCCCUGAGCCCGUGGUCCAGGGAGACUCUGAACAGGGAGAUCUUUUGUCAUGACAUGGUUGUCUCUUGUUGUGCAAGCAAGAGUCAGGGGACAAAUGACAUUGGCUUUAGCCCCCUGCCAGCAGUACCAGGGCCUCCAGGACGGGAGGGAAGGACCAGGCUGAGGCUGGCAUAUGGGAGAGAGCGUGUGUGCGCUGGCGUUUCACCUGCUAGGGCUGCCUUCUGCUGGGCUGUCCAUCUGGCACCGAAGUCCCACUGGUUUUUUUGGUUGGUUUUUUUUUUUUUUUUUAAGGUUUUUUGGUUUUUUUUUUUUUUUCUCAUUCCUGUCUUGGGAGCUUUCCCCAACCAGGCUUCCCUCCCUCCCAGUGCUGAUUUCCUGUGGACCAGAUUCCAGCACAGUGGAGGGCCAGAGCUCAGGGAACAGACCCAGCAGCACAGCAAGUCUCCAAGGAAAGCUCUAGCAGUCUCCAGGGGCUGAAGGCAGGACUGGGGAAGCGGCUAGCCAGGCUGCAGAAGGCAAAUGCUCCCAGACGGCUGUCCAGCACGCAUCCGCCUUCCUAGCCAAGUUUCCUGGGCUCCUGCCACAGAUCUAAGCCUCAUCCUGACAUACCAAAAAGAAGACCUGACGUCAUCCUGAGCACCCCCGCCAUGCAGAGUGUGUUCGCAGACUGCCAACGGGCUGGCUCCGGCCAGCAGAAGUGAACAGAGGUGGAGGUUCAGCCUGACAGCUUCUCCCCAAAGCCAUGGAGAGAAAACCUUACCACCCCCACCGCCCAGCUACUUCCAGCAAGUUGUCCAGCCUGACCCCUCUAUUUCCCCUGUUGUCUCUUAUCUGGGUCCCUGAGACCCACCCCAUCUCCAAUAAAGAACAUUGCAUACUGUGCAUCAGUGUUGCCUUGGGUGUGCCAGGCAGGGUCGGGGGCGUGCUGGGUUCUCCAUACUAGAACACCACUACUGAACAACAUAGUCACACCAGGCAGGGCUCCCUAAAGCCUACCUGCAUGGCCAGCGUGGUCCGAGGACAGUGUGCUCUCCCCACCCUGUCUGCUAGCCUCCAGCUUCAUGGGAACUCCAUUAAUCAUGGGAUUCCGAGAUCAUCAGAGCAAUAGGAUCACUCCGUCUCCAGGGGAGCACAAGGCAAGAGCCAGAGCGGGACUGUUCUUCAGUCAAGGGGCAGGGGUUGCUGCCUCUCUCAGUAGAGGCUUUUUCUCAGAAAUG